rnacentral:lncRNA from 1 species
AGGGAAAAUAUCUGCCAAAUACCUGUCAGUUGUUUUUUCAUGUAAAAAAUGGUAUUCCAUGACAAAAGUGGCUACUUCAGCCUUCCACUCAGUCACACAAGUACUUUUCCUCUAGACAACCAUUGUACUUGGGUAUGCAGUGAAAUGCUUUAUGUGUACUUCUCAUUUUGUCACACAGAAUAUUAAAAUGAUGUAUAUUCAAGAAUCA